GGGCGGCAGGUUUAGAAGGCUGAAACACUGCGGAGGUGCACCUAUGCAGAGAGGCGGGUUCGACUCCCGUGCCGUCCACCA
rnacentral:tRNA from 2 species